UAGUCCACGCCGUAAACGAUGACAACUAGCCGUCGGGGCCCUUGAGGCCUUGGUGGCGAAGCUAACGCGAUAAGUUGUCCGCCUGGGGAGUACGGCCGCAAGGUUAAAACUCAAAUGAAUUGACGGGGGCCCGCACAAGCGGUGGAGCAUGUUGUUUAAUUCGAUGCAACGCGAAGAACCUUACCACCCCUUGACAUACUAGGAAUUUUCCAGAGAUGGAUUAGUGCCUUCGGGAACCUAGAUACAGGUGCUGCAUGGCUGUCGUCAGCUCGUGUCGUGGGAUGUUGGGUUAAGUCCCGUAACGAGCGCAACCCUUGUCCUUAUUUGCCAGCACAUUAUGGUGGGAACUCUAAGGAGACUGCCGGUGACAAACCGGAGGAAGGUGGGGACGACGUCAAGUCAUCAUGGCCCUUACGGGGUGGGCUACAAACGUGCUACAAUGGUUGGUACAAAGGGCUGCAAACUAGCAAUAGUAAGCGAAUCCCAAAAACCAAUCGUAGUCCGGAUUGGGGUCUACAACUCGACCCCAUGAAGUCGGAAUCG
rnacentral:rRNA from 1 species